rnacentral:rRNA from 1 species
AUUGAACGCUGGCGGCAGGCCUAACACAUGCAAGUCGAGCGGUAGCACAAGGGAGCUUGCUCCCCGGGUGACGAGCGGCGGACGGGUGAGUAAUGUCUGGGAAACUGCCUGAUGGAGGGGGAUAACUACUGGAAACGGUAGCUAAUACCGCAUAACGUCGCAAGACCAAAGUGGGGGAACUUCGGGCAUCACGCCAUCCGAUGUGCCCAGAUGGGAUUAGCUAGUAGGUGGGGUAACGGCUCACCUAGGCGACGAUCCCUAGCUGGUUGGAGAGGAUGACCAGCCACACUGGAACUGAGACACGGUCCAGACUCCUACGGGAGGCAGCAGUGGGGAAUAUUGCACAAUGGGCGCAAGCCUGAUGCAGCCAUGCCGCGUGUGUGAAGAAGGCCUUCGGGUUGUAAAGCACUUUCAGCGAGGAGGAAGGCGUUAAGGUUAAUAACCUUGACGAUUGACGUUACUCGCAGAAGAAGCACCGGCUAACUCCGUGCCAGCCGCCGCCGUAA